CCAAGGUAUGAGCCUGUCAGAAGACACAUCUGCAUCUCCUCCUCCCAGGAGAUAUGUACCAUAAUUCAGCUUGCUGAGCGUGAGAAGAACAUACAAGAUAUAGGAGGAACAAUCGUUGCUGUCUUACUUAUAUAUCUCUAGAGUUUACACAAUGAAUGCUUCUGUAAGAAGGUGAUUAGUACUAGAAUGAGAUCACCCUAAAGGCAACUGGAACUAAAUCAAGACUGAGCUAGAAGGAAUGAAGAACAGGUUUGAUGCCACUAUGAAUUAAAGGUAAUCAAGACUAUGUGAUUCUAUCAUGGGACCCAAAGGAAAAUGAUACCUACAUAAAUAAAACAGCACUUUAAUAUAUAUAU